AGGUGGGAGGAUUGCUUGAGCCUGGGAGGUGGAGGUUGCAGUGAGCCAAGAUCACGCCACUGCACUCCAGCCUGGGCAACAGAGUGAGACUCUUUCUC
ensembl:miRNA